CCCGUUACAGGAAACCUUGAGCUAAAUCCUAUUUAUGUUGGUAAUAUUCUGGGGAGCAUAAAUUUGAAUCUAACAGAUUUUGAUCAGAUAUGGGAGGGUUUCAUGGACAGACUUGUCGAGAGAGCUUCAACGGGGUUUCCAGGCUUUUGCUACUGGAGAAGUGAAAUUGAAUGAAGCUUCAAUGGGGUUCUCCUGGCAGUGCACUCCAGAUGUUUCUCGCAGUGAUUGCAGCUAUUGCCUGAAAGAAAAUGUGGGUUACUUUUAUAGAUGUUGCCAUAAGAAGCAAGGAGGUUUUGUUAGAAGACCUAGUUGUAUUUUUCGGUGGAACUUGUAUCCCUUCUAUAAUUCUACCACUGCUGAUCCUCCUGCACCAUCUCCUCCAGGGUCAACCAAUACAACAAGUAUAAAUGAUCCAAUGAAGCGUGCUAUACUGGAUUGGGAAAUGCGAUACAAAAUCACCAGGGGCAUUGCUCGUGGACUUCUUUACCUAAACCAAGCAACAUUAUGUUGAUUCAGAAUUGAAUCCAAAAUUUUCAGAUUUUGGAAUGGCAAGGUCCAAAACCACCUUCUCCAAGCUUAUUAGCUUCAGAGAAUUUAUCUGUUAGAGCUCUAAUGAAGCUAAAGUCGUAUUGCAAGGAUUCCAUGGUUUUGAUUUCAUCAGCUGCUUCAACAAAAGAACUAGUCAAAGACAACACAAAGAAAAAGGCCCAAAACCACCUUGUCCAAGCUUAUUAGCUUCAGAGAAGUUAUCUGUUGCGGCUCUAAUGAAGCUAAAGUCGUAUUGCAAGGAUUCCACGGUUUCGAUUUCAUCAACUGCUUCAACAAAAUAAUAAAUCAAAGACAACACAAAGAAAAAAGGAGUACAUUGCACAAGAGCAUAUAUUGGUUGAAGGUUCGGCCCUGCUAAUUCUCCCACGGCAUACUUUCUUUGAGAAUUUCCUGUUGCAGCUUGAUCCCCAAGCCUAUCCAACAAGGUAAACACUGACCUG